AACUAACUUUGUUCUUGGUAUAAGCUUUUGUGUGCAUGCACGCUUCUUCAGAUUUCAUGCAUGCACACGAAAGCUUAUACCAAGAACAAACUUAGA